AUUUUUAUGGUUAAACAUAAACAUUUCGACGAGUCUUCUAAUGUUAGGGAUUGAUGUCAUUUUUUGAUGUGUCUCCUAUUUUUAAGGAUC
rfam:Populus trichocarpa isolate Nisqually-1 chromosome 16, whole genome shotgun sequence.